rnacentral:rRNA from 1 species
GAUGAACGCUGGCGGCGUGCCUGAUACAUGCAAGUCGAGCGAACAGACGAGGAGCUUGCUCCUCUGACGUUAGCGGCGGACGGGUGAGUAACACGUGGAUAACCUACCUAUAAGACUGGGAUAACUUCGGGAAACCGGAGCUAAUACCGGAUAAUAUAUUGAACCGCAUGGUUCAAUAGUGAAAGACGGUUUUGCUGUCACUUAUAGAUGGAUCCGCGCCGCAUUAGCUAGUUGGUAAGGUAACGGCUUACCAAGGCAACGAUGCGUAGCCGACCUGAGAGGGUGAUCGGCCACACCGGAACUGAGACACGGUCCAGACUCCUACGGGAGGCAGCAGUAGGGAAUCUUCCGCAAUGGGCGAAAGCCUGACGGAGCAACGCCGCGUGAGUGAUGAAGGUCUUCGGAUCGUAAAACUCUGUUAUUAGGGAAGAACAAAUGUGUAAGUAACUAUGCACGUCUUGACGGUACCUAAUCAGAAAGCCACGGCUAACUACGUG